GACGAACGCUGGCGGCGUGCUUAACACAUGCAAGUCGAACGGAAAGGCCCUGCUUUUGUGGGGUGCUCGAGUGGCGAACGGGUGAGUAACACGUGAGUAACCUGCCCUUGACUUUGGGAUAACUCAGGAAACCGGGGGUAAUACCGGAUAAGAGCCGCUGCUGCAUUGUGGGGGUUGGAAAGUUUCGGCGGUUGGGGAUGGACUUGGGGGUUAUCCGCUUGUUGGUGGGGUAGGGGCUUACCAAGGCUUUGACGGGUAGCCGGCCUGAGAGGGGGACCGGCAAAAUGGGGACUGAGAUACGGCCCAGACCCCACGGGAGGCAGCAGUGGGGAAUAUUGCACAAUGGGCGGAAGCCUGAUGCAGCAACGCCGCGUGCGGGAUGAAGGCCUUCGGGUUGUAAACCGCUUUCGCCUGUGACGAAGCGUGAGUGACGGUAAUGGGUAAAGAAGCACCGGCUAACUACGUG
rnacentral:rRNA from 1 species